GACAGAGGGUGCAAACGUUGUUCGGAAUUACUGGGCGUAAAGCGAGUGUAGGCGGUUUGGUAAGUCGGAUGUGAAACCCGGGGGCUCAACUCCCGGACUGCGUCUGAAACUGCGAUUCUAGGGACUCGGAGGGGCUAGUGGAAUUCUUGGUGGAGCAGUGAAAUGCGUAGAUAUCAAGAGGAACACCAACGGCGAAGGCAGCUAGCUGGACGAGAUCCGACGCUCAGGCUCGAAAGUAUGGGGAGCAAAAAGG
rnacentral:rRNA from 1 species